GUGGGGAAUAUUCCGCAAUGGACGAAAGUCUGACGGAGCAACGCCGCGUGAGUGAUGAAGGUUUUCGGACUGUAACGCUCUGUUGUUUGGGACGAAAGUGCCUGUUGCGAACAGUUACGGGUAUUGACGGUACUAAACGAGGAAGCCACGGCUAACUACGUGCCAGCAGCCGCGGUAAUACGUAGGUGGCAAGCGUUGUCCGGAAUUAUUGGGCGUAAAGAGCAUGUAGGAGGGCAUCUAAGUCUGUUGUUAAAAUGCGGGGCUCAACCCCGUAUUGCGCUGGGAACUGGCUUUCUUGAGUGCAGGAGAGGAGAGAGGAAUUCCCAGUGUAGCGGUGAAAUGCGUAGAUAUUGGGAGGAACACCAGUGGCGAAGGCGCCUUUCUGGACUGUGUCUGCCGCUGAGAUGCGAAAGCCAGGGUAGCGAACGGGAUUAGAUACCCGUGUAGUCC
rnacentral:rRNA from 1 species